rnacentral:rRNA from 1 species
AAUGAACGCUGGCGGCAGGCCUAACACAUGCAAGUCGAACGAGUGGCGGACGGGUGAGAAAUGUAUGGGAAACUGCCUGAUGGAGGGGGAUAACUACUGGAAACGGUAGCUAAUACCGCAUACCAUCGGAUGUGCCCAGAUGGGUUUGGCUAGUGGGUGGGGUAACGGGUCACCUAGGCGACGAUCCCUAGCUGGUCGGAGAGGAGGACCAGCCCCACUGGAACUGAGACACGGUCCGGACUCCUACGUGAGGAGGCAGAGGGGAGUAUUGCACAAGGGGCGCAAGCCUGAUGCAGCCAUGCCGCGUGUCUGAAGAGGUCCUUCGGGUUGUAAAGUACUUUCAGUGUGGAGGCGGUACCCGCAGAAGAAGCACCGGCUAACUCCGUGCCAGCAGCCGCGGUAAUUC